rnacentral:rRNA from 1 species
GCUCAACCGGGGAGGGUCAUUGGAAACUGGGGAACUCGAGUGCAGAAGAGGAGAGUGGAAUUCCACGUGUAGCGGUGAAAUGCGUAGAGAUGUGGAGGAACACCAGUGGCGAAGGCGACUCUCUGGUCUGUAACUGACGCUGAGGCGCGAAAGCGUGGGGAGCGAACAGGAUUAGAUACCCUGGUAGUCCACGCCGUAAACGAUGAGUGCUAAGUGUUAGAGGGUUUCCGCCCUUUAGUGCUGCAGCAAACGCAUUAAGCACUCCGCCUGGGGAGUACGGUCGCAAGACUGAAACUCAAAGGAAUUGACGGGGGCCCGCACAAGCGGUGGAGCAUGUGGUUUAAUUCGAAGCAACGCGAAGAACCUUACCAGGUCUUGACAUCCUCUGACAACCCUAGAGAUAGGGCUUCCCCUUCGGGGGCAGAGUGACAGGUGGUGCAUGGUUGUCGUCAGCUCGUGUCGUGAGAUGUUGGGUUAAGUCCCGCAACGAGCGCAACCCUUGAUCUUAGUUGCCAGCAUUCAGUUGGGCACUCUAAGGUGACUGCCGGUGACAAACCGGAGGAAGGUGGGGAUGACGUCAAAUCAUCAUGCCCCUUAUGACCUGGGCUACACACGUGCUACAAUGGGCAGAACAAAG